rnacentral:lncRNA from 1 species
AUGUCUGAUGAAGAGCGUGACCGUUCAAUGGAGGGGCAAUUUAGGGCCUUAACUGAGCUGGUUAAGCAGCUUCAGGCAGACAAUGAGCGGUUAAAGGGGGGCAGGCCAUCUCCUAAUGAGGAGGGAGGAGAGAGAGCAACUCUUGCUAGUGGAGCAGAGAGAUACAUUUACUUACCCCGAGAAAGAAAAUGCCCUAGAUUCUCAGGACAAGCUACUGAUCCCAUGCCAGUGAGAGAAUGGGUAGAGGGAGCCCGUAGAGCUGUGGGAGGACGACACAUGUCGCGGGGAGAACAAGCAUUGUUUAUACUGGACCACCUUGAUGGGGAGGCAAAGAAGGAAAUCAGAUUUCGCCCAUCCACUGAUAGGAGUAAUCCAGAUAAAAUAUUGGAAAUAUUGAUUGAGAUUUUUGGGUGUACCAAAUCUUUCAUUACUUUACAAAAACAAUUCUUCCAGAGGAAACAGCUAGAGGGGGAAUCUGUCCGUGAAUUUUCACAUGCUCUUUUGACUAGCAUGGAAGCCAUCAAAUGUAGCAACCCAAAUGGUAUCCAUAACCCUGAUGGUAUGGUAAGGGACCAGUUUGUCGAAAAUGUAAGAGAUGGGUUGUUGCGCAGAGAGCUCAAACGUUCAAUAAGACUUGACCCUGAAUCUUCUUUCUUUGCAAUUCGCAGCGAGGCUGUCCGCUGGGUAGAGGAAGGAGAGCAUCCAAGUACUCCACGAGGCAGGGCCUACUCGUGUGACUCUAGAAUGCAAGUACUGGGUGAGUGUAGCUCAGAAAGACAUACUACAUCUGUAAGGCCAGUAGAUGACCUAGCUGAACUAAAAGAGUGUUUCCGUAAUCAACAAGCACAACUAAAUGCUAUUCUAGAGAGAUUAGGCCCCUCUUCUUAUCCCACUGAGAGACUAGGCCCUUCUUCCUACCCCACCGAGAGACUAGGCCCCUCUUCUUACCCCACUGCCCCGCGACAAGGCCCAAAUGGCCCCCACCGGAAGCCUCCUCGAUUCCAACCUGAUGGCCAACCAAUCUGUUUGCGCUGUGACCAGCCGGGUCACAUUGCCAGGUUUUGUUCCGCAUCCAGUAGACAUAAUGCAGGGCCUGCUGGGCGGAGGGAAACGACUGCCUCCAGUCAAAUAGUAGAGGGGUUGACCAACAUGGCUAGCCAACAGGAAAACUAG